rnacentral:rRNA from 1 species
CCAAAAAUGGUGUACCUUUAAAGAUCUUAAAUUGUUGUGCUCCCUUUACUCGAUGCACCUCAUCAUGGAAGGUAAACCUUCGCCAGUUGAAAAUUUUUGUUACCUAGGAAACUAGGGCCAUGGUUCCAUUUUACCCGUGACUAAUAACGUGCCAGCAGUCGCGGUCAUACGUUAACUAGCAGCAAAGUCGCAAAGAAUGGUUUAACGCUUAUUUUUAUUUAAUAGUGAAAUAUAUUUUAAAUGUUACUACAUCUUUUAUUAUUUUAACAACUGACUACAAACAAGGAUUAGAUACCCUUUUAUGCAGUUAUUUUUAUAUCCUCAUUCUGGGUACUACAAUAGUAAAUUCAAACUCAAGCAACAUGGCGGCACUAAUAAUCUUUAGGGGAACUUACUAGGUAAUUGAUAACCACCACGUUAAUGCACUUCAGCUUAUAUUUUACAUACCGUCGUCGUCGACAUCCUAUGAUAGAAUGUCCAACUAUCUUUACCUACCAAGACAGAUCAAGGUGUAGACCAUGCUGAAGACUCAGCGAGUUACUAUAAUAACUUUUUCCAAAUUCAUCUUUUAAUAGCUGUUAUUUGUCGGACUUAAAAGUAAUAUAGACUAUAUAUAAUAUAUGAAUGUAACUAUUAUUGUGC